GCUUAACACAUGCAAGUCGAACGGUGAUGAUGGGGCUUGCCCUGUCUGAUCAGUGGCGAACGGGUGAGUAACACGUGAGUAACCUGCCCCUGACUCUGGGAUAACCGUGGGAAACGACGGCUAAUACCGGAUAUGAGACGCCCACGCAUGUGGAGCGUCUGGAAAGAUUUAUUGGUCUGGGAUGGACUCGCGGCCUAUCAGCUUGUUGGUGGGGUAAUGGCCUACCAAGGCGACGACGGGUAGCCGGCCUGAGAGGGCGACCGGCCACACUGGGACUGAGAUACGGCCCAGACUCCUACGGGAGGCAGCAGUGGGGAAUAUUGCACAAUGGGCGAAAGCCUGAUGCAGCGACGCCGCGUGGGGGAUGAAGGCCUUCGGGUUGUAAACCCCUUUCAGCAGGGAAGAAGCGAAAGUGACGGUACCUGCAGAAGAAGCGCCGGCUAACUACGUGCCAGCAGCCGCGGUAAUACGUAGGGCGCAAGCGUUGUCCGGAAUUAUUGGGCGUAAAGAGCUCGUAGGCGGUUUGUCGCGUCUGCUGUGAAAUCCUGAGGCUCAACCUCGGGCUUGCAGUGGGUACGGGCAGACUAGAGUGCGGUAGGGGUGACUGGAAUUCCUGGUGUAGCGGUGGAAUGCGCAGAUAUCAGGAGGAACACCGAUGGCGAAGGCAGGUCACUGGGCCGCAACUGACGCUGAGGAGCGAAAGCAUGGGGAGCGAACAGGAUUAGAUACCCUGGUAGUCCAUGCCGUAAACGUUGGGCACUAGGUGUGGGGCUCAUUCCACGAGUUCCGUGCCGCAGCAAACGCAUUAAGUGCCCCGCCUGGGGAGUACGGCCGCAAGGCUAAAACUCAAAGGAAUUGACGGGGGCCCGCACAAGCGG
rnacentral:rRNA from 1 species